rnacentral:rRNA from 1 species
GCAGGCUGCAACCCGCCUGCGUGAAGUUGGAAUCGCUAGUAAUCGCGGAUCAGCAUGCCGCGGUGAAUACGUUCCCGGGCCUUGUACACACCGCCCGUCACACCAUGAGAGUCGGGAACACCCGAAGUCCGCAGCCUAACCGCAAGGGGGGCGCGGCCGAAGGUGGGUUCGAUAAUUGGGGUGAAGUCGUAACAAGGUACC